GAUGAACAAAACUAUUUCUAAGAAUGGAAUAUAUAAAAAUGGUUAAAGCAUAGUCCCUUGUGAAAAAGUAUCUGAGAAACAAAACUACUUACUGUGAAAAAUUACCCAGGGCUUUCUCAACAAGGUCCUUAGCUUGGGUCUGUCUCAGAAUACAUUUCUUUCUCACUACGUUUACUGGGUUCAAUAGUGUCCCACCAAAAUUCACAUCCAGCCGGAACCUGCAAAUGUGACUAAAAAUUCUGGUCACAAAUUCCAAUGUGUGUGUGGUGGGGGUGGGGGGAUUUCCUCACACCUCAUCACCAAGUAAUUCCCUGGACACCAGGAAUUCUACUCACUGCUGCUGAUCCUGCCUCAUUUCCCGUCUUCAUCUUUCCCUGCUUCCACAUGGUGGGAUCUGUCAGUUCCCCAGCUAUCCAUCUCAAAACCAUACCUGACCAGUUUGAAGGCAGCAUGAGCUCUAUAAUUUGCUACAAUUCAUAAACAGAAGAGAGAAGGGGAGGGAAAGCCAGUGUAUAAUAUGCAAGGCAUUAAGUGGUUCCACUGAUGGCCUGUGAAUAUACUACGCGUGAGUAUGAAAAGCCUUUGACUGCACUUCAGUGAGCUGAUAGACGGGCUUGAAGGAAUGAGAAUGCAUCCUCACAGCUUUAGGGAGCGAGUAGGUGCCAUCAAAUAAGAGUCGAAGAUGGUAACUUUCUGAAGAAAAUCUACCUUUCAAGAUAUGUUCAGAUAAAUAAUUCAUUGAGCAAGGCUGUCUAAAAUUGGGAGUUCUCUGCAAAGUGUUGAGAAAGCUUUUUAAAAAAUAAAGUCAG
rnacentral:lncRNA from 1 species